UAAGGGCACGAAAGCGUAGGGAGUGAACGGGAUUAGAUACCCCCGGUAAUCUACGCCGUAAACGAUGGAUGCUAGCUGUUAGAGGUAUCGACCCCCGCUAGUAGCGAAGCUAACGCGUUAAGCAUCCCGCCUGUGGAGUACGGUCGCAAGACUAAAACAUAAAGGAAUUGACGGGGACCCGCACAAGCGGUGGAGCGUGUUGUUUAAUUCGAGGCUAAACGAAGAACCUUACCCAGGCUUGACAUCCUGCGAAUUUCUCCGAAAGGAGAGAGUGCUUUAUUGAGCGCAGUGACAGGUGCUGCAUGGCCGUCGUCAGCUCGUGUCGUGAGAUGUUUGGUUAAGUCCAUCAACGAGCGCAACCCUUGUAGUUAGUUGAAUUUUUCUAGCUAGACUGCCCUGGUAACAGGGAGGAAGGGGGGGAUGAUGUCAGGUCAGUAUUGCCCUUACGUCUGGGGCUACAAACACGCUACAAUGGCCGGUACAAAGGGCAGCCAAGUCGUAAGACGGAGCAAAUCCCAUCAAAGCCGGUCUCAGUUCGGAUAGCAGGCUGAAACUCGCCUGCUUGAAGCUGGAAUCGCUAGUAACGGUAGGUCAGCUAUACUACCGUGAAUACGUUCCCGGGUCUUGUACACACCGCCCGUCAAAC
rnacentral:rRNA from 1 species